rnacentral:snRNA from 1 species
GGAUGCUAAGGCUAUCUGGCCAUGGCAUCUGUGUCACCCCAUUGUUUGCCAGAAUUGAUUUGGCUGCUCUGACUGGUUAGGCAGGUGUCCUCAUCCCCACUCUGCCCUAUGUGUAUCUGCCUGAAGCUAAGUAUGUGGUCGAAGGAUGACCUUCCCAAGAGAGGACGGUUCUUAGACCAAGGGUAUAUGAGUAGCUACACGCCGAUGCUAGGACCUCCAAAGACAUUCUCAACACUAUUUGCUAUACUGAUUCUGAGAAACAGUCUACCUAUUUUGUUUAAAAAAAUUUUUACAUACAAUAUUU